GUGUUUGCUUCUGCAGUACACAUGCAGAAUGAUAUAAAGAAGACUAGCAUAACCCCUGCACAAGGAUGACAUGCAAAUUUGCAAAGCAUUCAAUAUUUUU
rnacentral:snRNA from 1 species